AGAGUUUGAUCCUGGCUCAGGAUGAACGCUGGCGGCGUGCUUAAUACAUGCAAGUCGAGCGUCGAAAGGAGAAGGGGUAACCCUUCUCCCUGAAAGCGGCGAACGGGUGAGUAACACGUGGGCAACGUUCCCCAAACUCCGGGAUAACAACGGGAAACCGUUGCUAAUACCGGAUGAUCCCUGCGCACCGCAUGGCGCGCGGGGCAAAGCUCCGGCGGUUUGGGAUCGGCCCGCGGCCUAUCAGCUUGUUGGUGGGGUAACGGCCUACCAAGGCGAUGACGGGUAGCUGACGUGAGAGCGUGAUCAGCCACACUGGGACUGAGACACGGCCCAGACUCCUACGGGAGGCAGCAGUAGGGAAUCUUGCUCAAUGGGCGCAAGCCUGAAGCAGCGACGCCGCGUGAGGGAUGAAUGCCUUCGGGUUGUAAACCUCUUUCAGCGGGGACGAAGCCGCAAGGUGACGGUACCCGCAGAAGAAGGUCCGGCCAACUACGUGCCAGCCGCGGCGGUAAUUC
rnacentral:rRNA from 1 species